rnacentral:snRNA from 1 species
GGAUGUGAGGGCAAUCUGGCUGUGACAUCUGACACCCUAUUGAUAGCCAGGGUUGAUUCAGUUGAUCUGGCUGGCUAGGUGGGUGUCCCCUUCCUCCCUCACAGCUCCAUGUGCAUCCCUCCUGAAGCUGCACACUCGGUCAAAGAGGACAACCAUCCCCAAUAGAGGAGGACCGUUCUUCAGUCAAGGGUAUAUGAGUAGCUGUGUUCCCCUGCUAGAACUUCCAAACAAGCUCUCAUAAAAAAACAAAACAAAACCCAACUCCUUGCUGCCUGCAGGAAACACUCUUUACUAGUAAAGACAAACAUGGCCUGAAAGUGAAAGGAUGGCAAAAGAU